rnacentral:lncRNA from 1 species
AUGGCCCCAGCGCGAGCCCCCGCGGCGGCCAGGAGCCAGGACGGGCGGGGGCGCGCGGGUAAAGUGGCGCCGGAGCGCACGGCGCGGCCCGGGACGCCGCCGCGCACCUUCCCCUCCGCGUCCUCCUCGAUUUUCCCCCUUCGAAAGAUGGCGGGCAGAGGAAAGGGGGAAAAAAAUCCCUUCCGUGAGGGAGGGCGCGAGGGAGGCCGGCUGGCGCGGGGCGCGCGGGCCGUGCCAACUCCGGGCUGCGCGCCCCGGCCGCGGCGACGCCCCCGAGCCCGGGACGCGGGCGGCCGAGAGAGAGCGCGGGCAGAGGGCGGAGGGGAGGGAGCCCGCCCAGCCGCCGCGACCCCGGGCGGCCCCCGCGCUUUGUUGCAUCGUGGCCGCGCACAAAGGCGGCGGCGGCGGCAGCCCGGGCGCCCGGCUCCCCGGACGCGGCGGCGGCCUGCGCGGGGCGCACGGGGCCGCGCUCCCCGGCCCGCCAGGCCCGCCGCCGCCCGCGCCGCCCGCCGCCCCGCGCGCGCAAGGAAGCAAAAGAAAGGCGUACUUGGCCUCGGCGGCUCCGGCGGCCGUCCCCUCCCGGCCCGCGCGGCCGGCUCCUCUUUGGCUCGCCGGCCCCGGCAGCAUAAUAGACGCGCCGGAGCCGAGCAGGGCUCAUGCGCUGCGCCGCGGCGCCUGGCGGGAGUCGUAGUCCGCGGCCGGGCCCGCGCAGGGGCCGCCCAGGGGAGGCCGCGGCGCGCGGACUACAAGUCCCGGCCCCGCCGGCGCCGCGCCCCGCCGCGCGCCCCCGCCCGCCGCCCGCCCCGCGACCCGGCCGCGAGCGGGCCCGGCCCGGGGGGCGCGCGGGGGCGGGGCGCGGCGCCCGGCGGCGACGCGGGUACCCCGAGGGGCCGCCCCCAGCCCGGGCCCGCGCGGCCCUCCCUCCCUCCCGCGCAGGGGACGUGCGCCUCUGGGCGAAUUUCCUGGUGGCCCUGGGAGGCGUGGAAAAGGCGGGAGCGCGGCCAGCGCCCGCCCGCCCGGAGACCCCGGAGCCCGAGGAGGCCGCCCUCGAACCCCGGCCACGCUCCGUCGGGGCGGCGCGCACCUGCCCGGCGCCUGUGUUUGUAA